rnacentral:rRNA from 1 species
GCAUAUCAAUAAGCGGAGGAAAAGAAACCAACAGGGAUUGCCCCAGUAACGGCGAGUGAAGCGGCAACAGCUCAAAUUUGAAAUCUGGCCCCAGGCCCGAGUUGUAAUUUGCAGAGGAUGCUUUUGGCGCGGUGCCUUCCGAGUUCCCUGGAACGGGACGCCAUAGAGGGUGAGAGCCCCGUACGGUUGGACACCAAGCCUUUGUAAAGCUCCUUCGACGAGUCGAGUAGUUUGGGAAUGCUGCUCUAAAUGGGAGGUACAUUUCUUCUAAAGCUAAAUAUUGGCCAGAGACCGAUAGCGCACAAGUAGAGUGAUCGAAAGAUGAAAAGCACUUUGAAAAGAGGGUUAAACAGCACGUGAAAUUGUUAAAAGGGAAGCGCUUGUGACCAGACUUGCGUCCGGUGAAUCACCCAGCUCUCGCGGCUGGGGCACUUCGCCGGCACAGGCCAGCAUCAGCUUGCCGUCGGGGACAAAAGCUUCAGGAACGUGGCUCCUCUCGGGGAGUGUUAUAGCCUGUUGCAUAAUACCCUUCGGCGGGCUGAGGUACGCGCUCCGCAAGGAUGCUGGCGUAAUGGUCAUCAGCGACCCGUCUUGAAACACGGACCAAGGAGUCAACCUUAUGUGCGAGUGUUUGGGUGUCAAACCCCUACGCGUAAUGAAAGUGAACGCAGGUGAGAGCUUCGGCGCAUCAUCGACCGAUCCUGAUGUUCUCGGAUGGAUUUGAGUAAGAGCAUAUAGGGUUGGACCCGAAAGAAGGUGAACUAUGCGUGUGUAGGGUGAAGCCAGAGGAAACUCUGGUGGAGGCUCGCAGCGGUUCUGACGUGCAAAUCGAUCGUCAAACAUGCGCAUGGGGGCGAAAGACUAAUCGAACCUUCUAGUAGCUGGUUUCCGCCGAAGUU